AACGAACGCUGGCGGCAUGCCUAACACAUGCAAGUCGAACGAGACCUUCGGGUCUAGUGGCGCACGGGUGCGUAACGCGUGGGAACCUGCCCUUAGGUUCGGAAUAACUCCCCGAAAGGGGUGCUAAUACCGGAUAAUGUCUUCGGACCAAAGAUUUAUCGCCUUUGGAUGGGCCCGCGUUGGAUUAGCUAGUUGGUAGGGUAAAAGCCUACCAAGGCGACGAUCCAUAGCUGGUCUGAGAGGAUGAUCAGCCACACUGGGACUGAGACACGGCCCAGACUCCUACGGGAGGCAGCAGUGGGGAAUGUUGGACAAUGGGCGAAAGCCUGAUCCAGCAAUGCCGCGUGAGUGAUGAAGGCCUUAGGGUUGUAAAGCGCUUUUACCCGGGAUGAUAAUGACAGUACCGGGAGAAUAAGCUCCGGCUAACUCCGUG
rnacentral:rRNA from 1 species